AUUGACCGCUGGCGGCAGGCCUCACACAUGCAAGUCGAGCGCGCGGCGGACGGGUGAGUAAUGUCUGGGAAACUGCCUGAUGGAGGGGGAUAACUACUGGAAACGGUAGCUAAUACCGCAUACCAUCAGAUGUGCCCCGAUGGGAUUAGCUAGUAGGUGGGGUAAUGGCUCACCUAGGCGACGAUCCCUAGCUGGGCUGCUCGGAUGACCAGUCAAACUGGAAAUGAGACACGGGCCAGACUCCUACGGGGAGCAGCAGUGGGGAAUAUAGCACGAUGGGCUCAAGCCUGAUGCAGCCAUGCCGCGUGUAUGAAGAAGGCCUUAGGGUUGUAAAGUACUUUCAGCGGGGAGGCGUUACCCGCAGAAGAAGCGCCGGCUAACGCCGUGCCAGCCGCCGCGGUAAUUC
rnacentral:rRNA from 1 species